ensembl:lncRNA
AGAAGAUGAGGAUGAAUCUGACUGAUGUCACGGUUUGAAAGCACAAAACCUUUUUUCCGUGGAGGAGAGGGGGGGAGAGGGGGGAGAGGGGAGGGGUGGAGUUGUUUAGCGACCUUCCACAAAGAACUGUCUCUCCCCCUUUUCUCUCUCGCUCUCUCACCGAAAUUACGGACGAGAUACCAAAAAAAAAACAAGAAGGAGAAGAAGAAGAAGAAGAAGAGACGGACUUGUGAGGACGUGUCUCCCUGGAAUGUGUUUUGACCACGGCACUACAAAGGGGAGGUAUUCUCAGAGCAAUAACGAGAAAGAACCUAAGACUAUUUUUGGUUUUUACUAAAAACCCCGAGCGGAUGAUCCAUUAUUUCUGCGUUAUUAUAAUCGACAAGCUAAAGGAGGACACAGGACACGUGUAAACAACUGUCUCUUUUUUUGGUAUAGUAUUUGUAUUUCUAUAAGGCUUUUUGCAGAGCAUGUCUUUUCGUACUACAGUAAUAUCAAAAAUGCAAAGCAAAGCACUGAGUAGUAAGGCAGGCGUGUGUGACCGGUACGUCGCCUAAGGUGGUAUGAAAAGUACAUUUGCUUUAAACCAAUUAAUUUAACUUGUAUAUUGUGGGUAGGGCAUUGACGUGGUUUGAGGUGUUUUCUAAGGAGUUUUAACUUAUAAAGCCAUAACUUAUGUAUUGUAUUUGAAACUUGAGUCAAAGACGUGUAAUCUGAAUAUUUUUGAUGCAUCUAUAGGACUUAAGUUUACGUUUAUUUUGUUUUUAUAAUUUAAAAGAGUUUUGUUUUUUUUGUACCCAGAUUUAGAUGGUUGGGAAUAUAAGAUUAUUAGAGUAUUGCAACAUGACUUUUCUAUUGUUACUUCCAGCUUAAUGGCUCCAAACUCCAAAACAUCCCAACAUCAUAGCCACUGGUGUUGAUCAAUAUUUCGGCAUUCGGAAUUAAACCUUCUGUAUAUUUAUUGAGCAAUAAUUUUGCAUCGGGGCAAGAUACAAUGAAAAACAUUUAAGAUGAGGAAGAUUAUUACCCAGUUGUGCGGUCGCGUUCGUCUCAGUCUUUCCAGUUUCCAUCAGAGUAUCUGUCCUAUAUUCUUCCAUGGCUGAAAGUUUUAAUUAAUAAUAGAUGCUGUGUCUUUCUUUGUGGUCUGAAUAAGUGGUCCGAUGGAAGAUGGAUUCAUACUCCAGCAUGACCUUUGACCCCCAAAAUAAGUCAAUAUGGCCGCCGUGUUCGGCAGUGUAUUGCGUGCACUCAAAAUAUAAAAGGGUCAAACAAUCGCGGUACACUUUUGUUGGUCCGAUUUUGUAUGAAACGUGACUUCCUCAGGACUGGAAUCUUCCGGAACAACUUGAGGUUUCCGGAAUGGAGGAUUUUUUUACACACAAAUUGCAGCUGUAUUGUAGUCCCACAUCCCAAGGCUAUAAUAUCAUUCAUAAGAGAUGGCUUUCUAAAAGUGGAUCUGCAUGUCUGAACCUUAAAGGUACUAGUCCUGUUGUGUGUUUCCUGUUCCCUGUCACAGCUUUUGAUAAUCAAGUCUGAUGUUCCCUCAGACAAUUGCUGGUUCGAAAAAGAAAAGAAAAAAAUAUUUAUUUUGAAAUUUCUGUUUCCGAUAAAUGACCAAAUUGGUUCGGAUCCCUUUAAACUCACCACCAUCUCAGAAGGUCACGACUGUAGACUUUUUGGCACCGAAGGACGUCACUCGCUGACGUUCCCUAGUUUGAACAACAGUACAAAUUUUGCGAGAUUUCCAAACAAUGAAAAUAACCUAAAACUCAAAUGAACCAAGAUCGAAUUAGAACAAGGCAACACAAAAAAACGAGCAGGGGGCUGGCUGCCAGCACAGCCCUGGCUUUUUUUUGAUCCUCAGAGCAAUUGGGAGGGCACUGGAGUCACACACACACAUCCUUAUACAGACACACACACACACAGACACUCACACACACACACAUACACACACACACACACCCUUACACAGACACACACACACACACACACACACACACACACACACACACACACACACCCUCACACACACACACACACACACACACACACACACACACACACACA